rnacentral:lncRNA from 1 species
GGAGAACCCUGCGGCCACCUGCAAGGAGCUGCUGCUGGCCCACCCCAACCUGCCCGAUGGGCAUUACUACAUCGACCCCAACCAGGGCAGCCCCCAGGAUGCCCUCGUGGCCUUCUGCAACUUCACGGCGGGGGGCGAGACCUGCAUACCCCCCGUGCACAAUCAGGUACGGCCCCGGGGUGGGGAAGGAGGGUCACCUUCAGCUCAAGUGCUGGGGUGGCUGCAGAGGGACGGUAGAGCCUGUGCUGUGCUGCGGUGACCGCUGACACUGCAGGGAGUGGUGGUUCCCCGUCCCCCUGCUUCAGGGUGGAUGCGCACCUCAAUUGGUUUGCAGCUGCUGGGGGUGGAUCCGGCAGCGCAGCAGUUCCACCACCCCUUGCUGGGGCAGUGACAAGGUCCCCAAUCCCCGCAGGUCCCCAUCAAAGCCUGGCUGAGCUUCUACGCCUCCACGGACACCUUUGAGUGGUUCAGCACUCUGCCCGGGGGCUUCGUGGUGAGUGACCCCAGGGGGGGGCACAAAGCCCUUCCCAUGGGCCCCCCCCUCCCCAGCAGCCGCACGUAGCAGAACACCAUCCCAACCUGUGAUUCUGUAGGGCUGCACCCUGCCCUGGCUUUGGGGACCCUACACCCCACGUCUCUCUGGUUGUCCCCGCAGCUGGAGUACACAGGGGCCAGCGCGGUGCAGCUGCGCUUCCUGCGCCUGCACAGCCACAGGGCCACCCAGAAGGUCUCCUACUCCUGCCGCCCCGCUCCCCACCGCCCCCAGCCCCAGAAGGAAAUCCGCUUCCUGGCUGACUCCCGGGAGCAGAGCUACGAAGCCACGCUGCAGGGCUGCCUGCCGGACAACGACUCUUCCAUCGCCGACACCAUCUUCCACUUUGCCACAGAGGAGCUGGCCCUGCUGCCACUCCGGGACCUGGCUGUGUUCCACGAUGGCGAUGCCUCGCACCAGUUCGGGUUCACCAUCGGCCCCGUCUGCUUCAGCUGAACACUGGGAGCCCGGCGGGGGUGGCAC